rnacentral:lncRNA from 1 species
AUUCACACACCUGAUGGCACACUCAAGUUCUCACUGAGUCAACCUUAACCCAGGAUUGUGUUCCAAGUGCAAGGCUCUGUGCCUAGAACUACAGCAGGAACAGCAGGAGAGGGGGCAGAACAAUGAGAGCUGCCAUUUCUAUGGGAGAAGGAAGUGUCUGCUUCCUUUGAAAGUCGUCUUUAAGCCUCACAGAAGUCUUCAACAUGGACAUUAUAAUGUUCACGUUCCAAGUGCAAAAAGUGAAAAUUAGAAAAGCUGGAAAAUCACUUGAAACAAGCUCUCCUUCCCACUGCGUUGAAGAGGAGCUGUCUAUUCUCCUUUGGGUGGACUCCCCUGGUCUUGGAAGAACCACUUGAAUGGCAUCUUUUAGUUCUAUAGAGAUGUAGAGC